rnacentral:rRNA from 1 species
AUACGUAGGUGGCGAGCGUUAUCCGGAUUUACUGGGUGUAAAGGGCGCGUAGGCGGGGAAGCAAGUCAGCUGAGAAAUCUAUGGGCACAACUCAUGAACUGCAUUUGAAACUGUUUCUCUUGAGUGCCGGAGAGGUAGACGGAACUCCUCGUGUGGCGGAGAAAUGCGUAGAUAUUAGGAGGAACACCAGUGGCGAAGGCGGUCUACUGGACGGUAACUGACGCUGAGGCGCGAAAGCGUGGGGAGCAAACAGGAUUAGAUACCCUGGUAGUCCACGCUGUAAACGAUGAAUACUAGGUGUGGGGGGACUGACCCCCUCCGUGCCGCAGUUAACACAAUAAGUAUUCCACCUGGGGAGUACGGCCGCAAGGCUGAAACUCAAAUGAAUCGACGGGG